GUGCCAGCAGCCGCGGUAAUACGGAGGGUGCGAGCGUUGUCCGGAUUUAUUGGGUUUAAAGGGUGCGUAGGCUGGAAGGACAGUCAGCGGUGAAAAGCAGUUGCUCAACAAUUGUCUUGCCGCAGAUACUACCUUUCUUGGAUUGGGAGGAGGUUACCGGAACGGAUGGUGUAGCGGUGAAAUGCAUAGAUAUCAUCCAGAACGCCAAUUGCGAAGGCAGGUAACUGUACCUAUAUCGACGCUGAUGCACGAAAGCAUGGGUAGCGAACAGGAUUAGAUACCCUGGUAGUCCAUGCUGUAAACGAUGAGGACUAGCUGUUGGGAGCAUUGCUUUCAGCGGCACAGGGAAACCGUUAAGUCCUCCACCUGGGGAGUACGCCGGCAACGGUGAA
rnacentral:rRNA from 1 species